UACAGAGGGUGCAAGCGUUGCUCGGAAUCAUUGGGCGUAAAGGGCAGGUAGGUGGUCUCGUUUGUCUGGGGUGAAAGCCUUGGGCUUAACUCAAGAAGUGCCCCGGAAACGGCGAGACUAGAGUACUGGAGAGGUUCGUGGAAUACCCGGUGUAGCGGUGAAAUGCGUAGAGAUCGGGUGGAACACCAGAGGCGAAGGCGGCGAACUGGACAGUAACUGACACUCAACUGCGAAAGCGUGGGGAGCAAACAGG
rnacentral:rRNA from 1 species